CACUGCCUUGAUCCACUUGGCUACAUCCGCC
rnacentral:tRNA from 5 species